CGUGUGAUGGUAAACCUUCCUGCACGGUUCAGAGAGCACUGAAUUAGAAUAAGAGGUUCACCAUCACAUCAUUGCAUGCAAGGGGAGCUCGGUCGAUUUGAAAAUAGGUCCGACUCGUAAUUCAUGUCUUAAAUUAACAUUCAUAAUCCCCUUAAAUUUUUCACAGCUCAUUUGGAAUGCAUGAAAGGAGCAAUGUUUUCAACCAGAUGUUGUAGCAACGCCAUAGCAUAGCAGAAUUUUGACAAAUCGCUAUUGUUCAGCCAUAUAUAGUAUGAAGUUUUGUCAAAUUGCAGCUAUAGCAGCUAUAGCAGAAUUUAAACAAACCACUAUUUUCCGUGAUCAAAGAUUGACAGCAUUAUCUUUGAAUGAUUUCACAAAAAUUUAAGUUCCAUUCCCUUUUGGUUGGUGACAAUUGUUUACUUCAUUCAUUUUCUUGUAUUAUUGGCAGGAACUUGCUUUCAUGAAUUUUAUCUGGAAACCUUAUCAAGAACGUGAUAUACAUCUUCGAAGCAAGGAUUGCCAAGUAAGCUUCAUGUUGUAUUCAGGGGUUUUAUUAUUAUAAUAAUAGUUAGAAUAUAGUUGAAGUUGAAUUAAACAAGUUACUUUGUUAGAAUAGUUUGCUGAGUCAGUUAGUUGAUCACUUGAUAUGUAAGAUUUUAAUUCAAUAGAUUGAUUAUAGUUAGAAGAGUAGCCUUUUUGAAUUAAACAAGUUACUUUGUUAGAAUAGUUUGCUGAGUCAGUUAGUUGAUCACUUGAUAUGUAAGAUUUUA
rnacentral:lncRNA from 1 species